rnacentral:rRNA from 1 species
UACGAAGGGGGCUAGCGUUGCUCGGAAUCACUGGGCGUAAAGGGUGCGUAGGCGGGUCUUUAAGUCAGGGGUGAAAUCCUGGAGCUCAACUCCAGAACUGCCUUUGAUACUGAAGACCUUGAGUUCGGGAGAGGUGAGUGGAACUGCGAGUGUAGAGGUGAAAUUCGUAGAUAUUCGCAAGAACACCAGUGGCGAAGGCGGCUCACUGGCCCGGUACUGACGCUGAGGUGCGAAAGCGUGGGGAGCAAACAGG